UGGGGAAUCUUGCGCAAUGGGCGAAAGCCUGACGCAGCCAUGCCGCGUGAAUGAUGAAGGUCUUAGGAUUGUAAAGUUCUUUCGCCCGUGACGAUGAUGACGGUAACGGGAGAAGAAGCCCCGGCUAACUUCGUGCCAGCAGCCGCGGUAAUACGAAGGGGGCUAGCGUUGUUCGGAAUUACUGGGCGUAAAGCGCGCGUAGGCGGUUUCGCAAGCCAGAGGUGAAAUGCCUGAGCUUAACUUAGGAAUUGCCUUUGGGACUGCGAGGCUUUGAGGACGGGAGAGGUGAGUGGAAUUCCCAGUGUAGAGGUGAAAUUCGUAGAUAUUGGGAAGAACACCGGUGGCGAAGGCGGCUCACUGGCCCGUUUCUGACGCUGCAGCGCGAAAGCGUGGGGAUCAAACAGGAUUAGAUACCCUGGUAGUCCACGCUGUAAACGAUGAGUGCUAGGCGUCGGCACGCUUGCGUGUCGGUGCUGCAGCUAACGC
rnacentral:rRNA from 1 species